rnacentral:rRNA from 1 species
AAAAGUAAGCUACUAAGGGCGUUCGGUGGAUGCCUUGGCAUUAGGAGGCGAUGAAGGACGCGGCAAGCUGCGAUAUGCUUCGGGGAGCUGCUUAGCAAGCUUUGAUCCGGAGAUUUCCGAAUGGGGAAACCCACGUGUUUACACGUACCCUCACAUGAAUACAUAGUGUGUUGGAGCUAACCUCGGGAACUGAAACAUCUAAGUACCGAGAGGAAAAGAAAUCAUAUGAGAUUCCCUGAGUAGCGGCGAGCGAACGGGGAACAGGCCAAACCACUCGGUUUACCGAGCGGGGUUGUAGGGCCAGCGUUAUGAAACGAUAGGAUAGGCGAAAGGUCUGGAAAGUCCUGCUAUAGAGCGUGAUAGUCGCGUAGCCGAAAUCUGAAAAUAUCUAGCUGGUUCCUGAGUAGGGCGGGGCACGUGAAACCCUGUCUGAAUCCGGGAGGACCAUCUCCCAAGCCUAAAUACUACCUAAUGACCGAUAGUGAAUCAGUACCGUGAGGGAAAGGUGAAAAG